UCAGAAUGCUGCGGUGAAUACGUUCCCGGGUCUUGUACACACCGCCCGUCACACCAUGGGAGUCGGAUAUGCCCGAAGCCAGUGACCCAACCGUAAGGAGGGAGCUGUCGAAGGUGGAGCCGAUAACUGGGGUGAAGUCGUAACAAGGUACC
rnacentral:rRNA from 1 species